AGCCCGUCUGCGACGGGGCGGUCCUGCCUGCGCCUCGAGCGGGCCCGCGGAAGUGGCUCCCCGACGUGCGCGAACGCUCUCUACUGGGGCCUGUCCCGGUCCCUGGUAGUGGGCGGCGGCGCUCGCAGGCUGCCCUGGCGCGCUGUGCAUGACCACUGCCCACCUGCUUGCAGUUUCCCGCUGCCUCCUUCCCGUCCCGUCUCAGGUGAUCUUCCGGGUCCGCCAUCCCAGGCGGGCGGAUGUCUGUCGGGGGAAGGGCCCAUGAAAUGGCCACAGAUGACAAACGAUCUCCGACACUGGACUCUAAUAUUGAUCUACCUCAUUCUCCAAGUAGUCCAUCUCACCUCACUCACUUCAAACCCCUGACUCCUGACCAGGAUGAGCCUCCUUUUAAAUCAGCCUACAGCUCUUUUGUAAAUCUCUUCCGUUUCAGCAAAGAUGAUGGCAGGCUUUCAUCACCAGCAGAGAGAGCAGAGGUAGGACAGCGUGAUCCACAAGCAUUGAGUGGUGGCUGGUCCAGUCCUCAGCAUCCCACCAGGGCUCAGUCUCUGAGGUCACCGCUUCCUUACAAGAAACAACUGACUGGUGAGCUGCAAAGAAGAUCUUCUACAACCCUGGACAAUCGAAGAAAAGUGGAACCGCCUCUUGGAGGUCAUGAUCCUCGAACAGCUGUGCAGUUAAGAAGCCUCAGCACUGUUUUGAAGCGCCUCAAAGAAAUCAUGGAGGGAAAGAGCCAGGACAGUGAUCUGAAGCAGUACUGGAUGCCUGACAGCCAAUGCAAAGAAUGCUAUGACUGCAGUGAGAAAUUCACCACCUUUCGGCGGAGACACCACUGUCGACUUUGUGGGCAGAUCUUCUGUAGUCGAUGCUGCAAUCAGGAAAUCCCUGGAAAAUUCAUGGGCUACACAGGGGAUCUCCGAGCCUGCACUUACUGCCGCAAGAUAGCCCUAAGCUAUGCCCACUCCACAGACAGUAACUCGAUUGGAGAAGACUUAAAUGCUCUGUCAGAUUCCGCAUGUUCCGUAUCAGUGCUGGAUCCUGGCGAGCCACGCACUCCGGUUGGGAGCCGGAAAGCGAGCCGCAACAUCUUCCUGGAGGAGGAUCUAACCUGGCAAAGUUUGAUUCACCCAGACUCUUCAGCCACAACGUUGUCUGCACGCCUUGGGUCUGUCCAGGAGGAUGCAGGGAAGUCACCAGCUAGGAACAGAUCAGCCAGCAUCACUAACCUGUCACUGGAUCGGUCAGGUUCGCCAAUGGUGCCUGCCUAUGAGACAUCUGUUAGCCCCCAGGCCAGUCGCACACAUAUGAAGGCUGAGACCAGCGAGGAUGAGCGCAAAAUCCUUCUGGACUCAGUCCAACUGAAGGAUCUAUGGAAGAAAAUCUGCCAUCACAACAGUGGGAUGGAGUUUCAAGAUCAUCGCUACUGGUUGCGGACACAUCCCAAUUGCAUUGUGGGAAAAGAGCUGGUCAACUGGCUUAUCAGAAAUGGCCACAUAACCACGAGGGUCCAAGCCAUUGCAAUAGGACAAGCGUUGGUUGAUGGACGCUGGCUAGAAUGUGUCAGUCAUCACGAUCAGCUCUUCAGAGAUGAGUAUGCUCUCUACAGACCGUUACAGAGCACGGAGUUCUCAGAAACCCCAUCUCCAGACAGUGACUCUGUGAACUCUGUAGAGGGGCACUCUGAGCCAUCCUGGUUCAAAGACAUCAAAUUUGAUGACAGUGACACAGAGCAGAUUGCUGAUGAAGGAGAAGAUAACCUAGCCAACUCUGCCAGCCCUAGCAAGCGCACUUCAGUCAGCAGCUUCCAGUCCACAAUGGACAGUGAUUCAGCCGCCUCCAUCAGCCUGAACGUGGAGCUGGACAACGUGAACUUCCAUAUCAAGAAGCACUCCAAGUACCCACAUGUGCCCCCUCACCCUGCCGACCAAAAAGAGUACUUGAAUCCUGAAAACGGAGGGCAGCAGAUGUUCUCUAUAAGUGAUGCUUUUAUUAAAGAGUCAUUAUUCAACAGGAGGGUGGAGGAGAAGUCCAAAGAACUCUUUUUCACGCCCCUAGGCUGGCACCACAGCAAUCUGGAUCUGCUGAGAGAAGAGAAUGGGGAGAAACAAGCCAUGGAGAGGCUGCUGUCAGCUAAUCACAGCCACAUGAUGUCACUGCUUCAGCAGCUUCUGUACAAUGAGUCCCUGUCACUGGCCUGGAGGGAUAUCAUUGUACCUGUGGUCUGCCAGGUAGUUCAAACUGUACGACCUGAUGUCAAGAACAGAGAUGAUGACAUGGAUAUCCGCCAGUUUGUCCACAUCAAAAAAAUCCCUGGUGGAAAGAAAUUUGACUCGAUGGUGGUGAAUGGAUUUGUUUGCACUAAGAACAUUGCACACAAAAAGAUGAACUCCUGCUUAAAAAAUCCCAAAAUUCUUCUGCUGAAGUGCUCAAUUGAGUAUCUUUAUCGAGAAGAAACAAAGUUUACCUGCAUAGACCCUAUAGUACUUCAGGAAAGGGAGUUCUUGAAGAACUAUGUACAACGGAUAGUUGAUGUCAGGCCUAAUUUGGUCCUUGUUGAGAAGACUGUGUCUCGAAUUGCCCAGGACAUGCUCUUAGAGCAUGGUAUCACUCUGGUCAUCAAUGUCAAGCCGCAAGUGUUAGACCGGGUAAGUCGAAUGACCCAAGGAGACUUAGUGAUGUCAAUGGAUCAACUGUUGACAAAACCACGUCUGGGAACCUGUCAUAAAUUUUAUAUGCAAGCUUUUCCAUUACCCAAUGAUCAGACAAAAACCCUGAUGUUCUUUGAAGGGUGUCCCCAGCACCUGGGUUGCACUAUCAAGUUGUGUGGUGCUGCAGAGUAUGAGCUGGCUCGUGUGAAGGAGAUCUUGAUCUUCAUGGUCUGUGUGGCUUAUCAUUCCCAGCUGGAAAUCUCUUUCCUUAUGGAUGAGUUUGCCAUGCCCCCUACUCUGAUCAAAAACACCUCCUUUCACUCCCUCAUUGAGGAGCCAGGAGAUGAAAAUGAGCAAGAGAACCUCUUCAAUGGCGAGGAUUUCGGCACAGCCAUCAAAGACAUUGAGCUGUCCUCUGAAAAGCUGCCCAUAAUCUCUGAGUCAGUGUCCUCUGAUGAAGUCAGCUUGCUUGAACAAAAAGGUUUAUUUGAGAGAGGUGACCAAGAGAAAAUUCAUCUGGAAACAGCAUCCUCAAAACAGCAAGUGCAUCACAAUGCGGAGUCACCAUUUCCAGUGUUCAACUCUGUGCCUCCUGCAAUACCUGAAACAUCCCUGCUGCCUCUGCAUGGCAUGGACCAGCACUUGGUCACUCUGGAUAGCCAGAUACUAGAGCCUCCUCAGCAGGCAGAUGAUCUGCAGGAGUCCAAGAGUCAAAAGAGAGUCUUCAGAGACCCUCUCCAGGAUGAUACUGGUUUAUAUGUCACAGAAGAAGUGACUUCUGAGGAUCGCCUCAAGACUUACUCUGCAGCAUUUAAGCAGGAGUUGAAAGAUGUCAUUCUCUGUAUUUCUCCUGUAAUAGUAUUCCGUGAACCAUUUCUUUUGACUGAAAAAGGUAUGAGAUGCCCUGCCCGGGAAUACUUCCCUGAGCAAGUUUAUUGGUCUCCUCUCCUCAAUAAGGAAUACAAGGAGUUGGAGAGCAGAAGGAAGAGACAGUUGUUGCGGGAUCUCUCUGGACUACAGGGGAUGAAUGGGAGCAUUCAAGCCAAGGCUAUCCAGAUCUUACCUUCUCAUGAGCUGGUUAAUACAAGAAUAGCAGAACAUCUGGGGGAUAGCCAGAGCUUAGCCAGAAUGCUGGCUGACUAUCGGGCCAGAGGAGGGAGGAUACUGCAGAAAAACACAGAUCCCUUUGCCCAAAGUAAGGAUGUUUCUAGUGUCCCUACUGGAAAAACUGGAUGCAGAACUGAAGAGGAUGAGAAAGGACUGGUUCAGAGUGAUUCCUCAUGGUCUCAUAAGGUGGAUUGCCUGAGUCCAAUAAACCAUCAGAGGCUCUGCAUUCUCUUCAGUAGCUCUUCUGCUCAGUCCAGCAAUGCUCCGAGUGCCUGUGUUAGCCCCUGGAUUGUGACCAUGGAGUUCUAUGGGAAAAAUGACCUGACUCUUGGGAUUUUUCUGGAGCGCUACUGUUUCAGGCCUUCCUAUCAAUGCCCCAGCAUGUUCUGUGAAACACCAAUGGUGCAUCACAUUCGUCGCUUUGUUCAUGGGCAAGGCUGUGUGCAAAUUGUGUUAAAGGAGCUGGACUCCCCAGUCCCUGGGUACCAACACACCAUUCUUACUUACUCCUGGUGCAGACUGUGCAAACAGGUGACACCAGUUGUUCCUCUUUCCAAUGAUUCUUGGUCUAUGUCUUUUGCAAAAUACCUUGAGCUGAGAUUCUAUGGGCACCAGUACACUCGAAGAGCCAAUGCAGAGCCUUGUGGUCAUUCCAUUCACCAUGACUAUCACCAAUAUUUUUCCUAUAAUCAGAUGGUGGCAUCUUUCAGCUACUCUCCAAUCCGGCUGCUUGAAGUAUGUGUCCCACUUCCCAAGAUCUACAUCAAAAGGCAAGCUCCGUCAAAGGUUACCAUUUUGCAGGAUCUCAAGGAUUUCUCUCAAAAGGUGUCACAAGUGUAUCUUGCUGUUGACGAUCGCCUUGCUUCUCUGAAAACUGAUACUUUCAGCAAAACAAGAGAAGAGAAGAUGGAAGACCUCUUUGCCCAAAAGGAGAUGGAAGAGGGAGAGUUUCGAAACUGGACUGAGAAAAUCCAAGCAAGGCUGCUUUCGUCAUCAUUAGACGCACCUCAACAGCUGCAAUCUGUUUUUGAGUCUCUAAUUGCUAAAAAGCAAGGACUUUGUGAGAUGCUGCAAGCCUGGAAUAACAGAUUACAGGAUCUCUUCCAACAAGAGAAAGGGAGAAAACGUCCAUCAGUACCACCCAGCCCUGGGAGACUGAGGCAAAGUGAAGAAAGCAAGAUCAGUUGCAUGGAUGCUUCCCCACGCAAUGCUUCUCCAGCACUGCAAAAUGGAGAGAAAGAGGACCGUUUCCUGACUACUUUAUCAAGUCAGAGCUCAACAGGCUCCACCCAUCUCCAGCUGCCCACCCCUCCAGAGGUUGUGUCAGAGCAUAUGGCUGGUGUUAGCACACUGUCUGAACAGGAUACAACAAGCAGCUCAGAAGAUGUGUUUGAUGGGCACUCACUGGGAUCUACAGACAGCCAAGUAAAGGAGAAGUCUACUAUGAAAGCUAUUUUGGCUAACUUUUUGCCUGGAAACAACUAUAACCCCAUUCCAUUUCCCUUUGAUCCAGAUAAGCACUACCUAAUGUAUGAGCAUGAGCGUGUACCUAUUGCAGUCUGUGAGAAAGAACCAAGCUCCAUCAUAGCUUUUGCUCUCAGUUGCAAGGAGUACAGAAAUGCCCUGGAUGAGCUGUCCAAAGCAUCUCUGAAGAACUGUUCUGAAGAAGGACUACAGCCUAACAGCAUGUCAGAUGGCAAACCAAAGAGCAGUAGCCCUGUCCGCCUUCCUGAGGCUAAUGUGGGUCCUUCCAAUCGUAGUACAGAACCAGAACAGCCAAAGAAACCAUCUGGUGUUUUGUCUUUCUUCCGUGGCACGGGAGGGAAGAGCCCAGACCUGUCUUCUCAGAAAAAAGAGACCUUACGUGGUGCUGACAGUGCCUACUACCAGGUUGGACAGAUGGGCAAAGAGGGAGCAGAAAAUCAAGGAACAGAGCCUCAAGAUGAUGCAGAUGGAGGAGAUGGACAGAAGAGACAGCUGGUGAAUCCUCAUGUAGAACUCCAGUUUUCAGAUCCGAAUGCCAAGUUCUACUGCCGGAUAUAUUAUGCUGGCGAGUUUCACAAGAUGCGGGAAGUAAUUCUGGGGAGCAGUGAAGAGGACUUCAUCCGAUCCCUUUCUCACUCUAUGCCCUGGCAGGCACGAGGUGGCAAAUCUGGGGCUGCAUUCUAUGUGACAGAGGAUGAUAGAUUCAUCUUGAAGCAGAUGCCUCGUCUGGAAGUCCAGUCGUUCCUCGACUUUGCUCCACACUACUUCACUUACAUCAUCAAUGCAGUUCAGCAGAAGAAGCCCACAGCACUGGCCAAAAUCCUCGGCGUAUAUCGAAUUGGAUACAAGAACUCUCAAAAUAACACUGAAAAGAAGCUGGAUCUGCUUGUUAUGGAAAACCUUUUCUAUGGCAGGAAAAUGGCUCAGGUUUUUGACUUGAAGGGCUCCCUCCGGAAUAGAAAUGUUAAAACAGACACAGGCAAGGAGAGCUGUGAUGUAGUCCUGCUGGAUGAGAACCUUCUGAAGAUGGUCCGGGACAAUCCUUUGUACAUCCGUUCCCAUUGCAAGGCUGUGCUCAGAGCUUCCAUACACAGUGACUCCCAGUUCCUCUCCAGCCACCUUAUCAUUGACUAUUCUCUGCUGGUGGGCCGUGAUGAUACCAACAAUGAGCUGGUUGUUGGGAUCAUUGACUAUAUUCGCACUUUUACCUGGGACAAAAAGCUUGAAAUGGUGGUGAAAUCAACUGGUAUCUUGGGAGGACAAGGUAAGAUGCCAACUGUGGUCUCUCCAGAACUGUACCGGACCAGAUUUUGUGAAGCUAUGGACAAGUAUUUCCUGAUGGUGCCAGACCACUGGACAGGACUGGGCCUGAAUUGCUAAGCUAAAGCCCAUAUUGGGAAAGCACAAGAAGACAAUGUCAUUAUAGGCCACUCUUCCUGUGGUCUGUCCAACAGUAGGCAAGAGGAUUGGAGUUCCAUGUCCACACUGACCACAUGCAUCAUGUUAUGAAGCAUGAAAUCUGCUUGUUGCACUUCAGUCCUCCCCUGGACACUGAUAAGCAAACUGGCCUUGCUAAAGAUUGAAGCUGUGAGGUACCACUGAACAGCAUUGAUAGGAGACAUUCCUUCUGUCACUAGAGACGGUGACGCUCUCUCCAUGUGAGAGCACUGAAGCAGGUACUAUCCAAUUCAUGAUGAUGUAGAAGUACAUGAUCUCUGUAAGUCUUGCGCUGCUGAACUAGUGUUGAAUAUGAGCAGCUCAUGUUUCUCUAGUGGAUGUGUGGUACUGCAGAUGUGGAAAAAAACCCCUCUAUGUCGGUGAAUGAGAGAAGAAUGAAGUUAAUUCGUGAGUUCUGCGGUUGUUGCAGGGGUCUGUAGUUGACCUGUUUAGGACCCAUGAGUAACUUGUCCUGUUUAUGCUCUGUAGCUUCAAUUUUACCUCAAUUCUGUAAACAGUAUUUUUUUUUAAAGGCAGCUAAAAUGCCAUGUCACUACAUCUCUUAAGUUAUAUUACUGUAGUACAACUCUGUCGUUAUUUCAUUUUAGCUGUAUCAUAAAAAUGGGUUGUCAGUCACUAGUAUACUGCAAAACCUAAGACAUAUCCCUUCAGUCCUAAACAGUAAUUUGAUCUGAAUGUUGCCCGAAUGCUUGGAAACAUGUAACUGAAUUGUAAUGUAACAAGACCUGAUUAAUUAUAGGUAUGAAGCUGAUUAACCCUUUCCUUAGCAUAAGGCACUAAGUUUCUAGACAAAAUGAAGUAUGUUGCCUUAGAGUGACAACAUUUUCCUUAGUGAAACAUCAUUCCUGGCAGAUCCCUUCAAAUCCAUUUCAGUUCCCCAGAGCUUUCAAACAAGGCAUUUACCUCAUGGUGAAACUUUGCCAGGAGAAUGUUGUUCUAGUGAGAAUGACCAGCUCUCACGACACCGUGUGGUUUCAAUGGAAAAAAUGUCUUUUGAGCAGUAUUAGAUUUUUGAUUUUUGCAUCACUGAGAUGAAUGUAGUUGUCUUUUUCUGUAAAAAGGAAAACCUGAACUAACAAGUAUCUUGUAUGAUGGAUAUGUGCAGAGAUCUGUGAAUCUGUUACAACAAUAAGCACUUCCUUCCAUUUUUAUUAAUUUUUACCUGAUUUUGUAGGUGAUGAGUUUACUUUUUAGCUUCUUUGUAAUAUAGGCCAGUAAAUAAGAGGAUUUUUUAUGAGUUUGAGAAGUAAGAAUACUGUUUUUUGACUUUAUCUCUGAUUGAAGGACUUCAAAUGAAUAUGGAGUCUAGGACAGUUUAGCUCUUUAUGACCACUUGUGUGUUUUGACCAGGUGCCUGGUAAUGCCAUCUUCACUGUAACUAUUGAUUGAAAUCUGCAUUUUGUUCACUACUCCUGUGUUCAGUAUUUUCUUCUGCAGCAGUUAUUGGUGGCUUUGGUCAGGAGUCAUAGCUGGACAGUACAGAGGAAGUAAAAUGCCAGUGAUGAGAAUUGACUUGUGGCUCCAAAUACAACCAGGGCAGCUCAGGUCUAAGCUGCCAGGAGGCAACAGUCUUUUCUGUUGGAAGAAGUCUUUCCCCACCCCACUGCAAAGCCUUGAUGGAGGAUGAGCAAAGAUGCUAACCUUGAAGCAGGAAAAAUGAAAGUAUCCUCACUUCCUCUGUAUAGUGUAAUCAUUGGUUCUGGGGAUGCAAUCUUGAAGGCUGCAGUGGUGUGUGCUGUGGAAUUAUGACAUGGUACUUUCUGCUUCUCUGGCCCAGAAUCUCUUUGAUCCAACACAGCACUUGUGUCCCAGAGAUGGUCAGCUGUACCUAUCUUGCCUCUUUAGUUGAAAUGUACUCCCAGGAUGGCUAGCUGUGUGUGUGGGGCCUUGUGUAACAAGGAACCAGCCAGUCCAUCAGCUCAAUGUUACUCUCACUUUUGUGGCUGAUGCCUUUUGUCUUGGUCCGUUGAUAUCAAAGAGCAUGCCAUGCAGCCUGAAUCUGCUCCAGUCUCAGUUAAAAGUUUACAUGUGAUGUUUCUUCUUCUAGAGUUUACAGGGAAAAACUUGACUUCCCCACCAGCUAAGGUGACCCAAGAGCAGCCAGUUAUGCUCUCUUCCACGUUUCACAGUAUAGUUUAGUUGAUGGAGCAUGAAUAUGGGCAGUGUCAUGGCAUCUGCACUAGGCUAAUAUAGAGCUGUGAUGUUCUUGCCCUGUCCUGUCACCAGUAACCUUUAAUCCAGUGAUGUGUGGCUGCUCUGUACUGCUUGUUGUCUGAAAUCCCAAUCAGCAGCUCUAAACCAACAUGAUGAUCUGACUGUAGCUAAUGUUUACCUGUACCUGACAGCUUGAGGCCCUCAGCACUGUAGAAGUGAGAGAGACUUCCACUGGCUAGUUCUUUUGCAUCCUGUGCAUACAGAGCCCGGAUAAUGUGAAUUGUGACCUUCUUGGGAUGAAGUUAUAGCAGUUGGAGAGACAUGCAGGAGUGAUCUUGAGCUGGCAUCAACAGCUAACUUUGGCUAAAGGUGAUGGAUAAUUCAUUCAGGGAACAGGACUCCUACAAUAUCAAACUGAAGACCUGAAAUGUAAGGAUUUUGCCUGUAUUAUGUGCCAUCACCACUUUUGCAAGAAGGGUGUGUUUUGGCUGCGAGAAACAGAAGAAUCCUGCCUUCAGCUCUUGAGGAUUUUUGUGGUGCUUAAUCUAUAAAGCUGACAAAGAGGAGGUGGGAGAAAGAGGCACAAAACAACACUGAAAACCUCACAAAAAUGAAAACACCCAAAACCGGGCAGCUGGGCUCUGCACCAGUCCUCCCUGCACCUCCAUGGGGUACCUCACACACCCGGCAACCCUGCACGGGCUGCUCUGACAUGUGUUCAUCCCAAAAGCUGCAGCUCCUCUCUGCCUCUCAUGUGGGUCUGCUCUGCGGCCCGCAGGCUCUCCAGCACAGCCUGCGCAUGGCUGCCUCCUCAUACAGCCACUCCAGGUACACUCACCUGGAGCUGCUCUCAGUCCUGCUGUUGCCCUCUGUGGGUUGCAAGGGUACAGCCUGUGUUCUCACCACGGCUUGCAGAAGGGUCUCUGGUCUGGUAUUCCUGUGGGGCCCACGUGGUCGCCUCCAUCUUGUACCACUCUUAUACCUCCUCCCAAGCACUUCAAAUUCCCAUCCUUAAAUAGUGAUGGAAGAGGCGCCAGAUUGGCCCAGCCGGGCUGGAGGUGGGUCUGAACCCAGGAGCUGGGGGAGAGUCCAAAAACUCUUUACUGGGUCUCCACUGCAACCCGCUCCCCAUGUUACCAAGCAAAAGCUGCUUCUUGCUAAACCAUGAUACGGUUAUUCAAAUUAUAUACUAUAGUGACAGAACAAAGUCAUUCAAGACAUAAUGAUCCAGUGAUCAAAGGUUGGAUGCUAAGGUAAAGGAGUGUAAUUACUGAGAGUGUUGAAUUAGAGUUGCAGAGAUGGGAUGGUGUAGGCACAAAUGUGGUUUGGACCAGCCAGCUUGAAUAAAGAUGGUAGGUUAAUGCAGCUGGCAAGCUACUUCCAAUUAUCAGAAACAGGUGCUGCAAGUUAAUCAGUUGGGCCCUGGAUGAUCACAUGGGCAGAAGCAGCAUAUAAGGAGGUAGCUAGCAAAGGAAGGGUGGCUUCAAGUCAACUCUGUUGGUUGUACUAUGUUGCUUGUGUAUGUCUCUGCACGUGCAUUACCUAGAUUGUCUAUGUCUUUGAAUGAAUAUUGCUUGCACCUCUACAACAUUUGGUGACCCCGACAUGAUUAGCUGAAUUUGUUGGAUUAAGAACCCUUGGCAGAAAAGCACCUGGAUUCCUGCUUGAAAAGGCAAGUGACCUGAGUAAACUGGUAUAAUGGGAAAAAUGAUGAGCAAAGAGGAAAAUCCUAUUGACACCCUCCAGCAUAUCGUUGCUGAGAGAGGAUUCAAUUAUGAAAGAAAGGUUUUGUUAAGACUUUGUAAGAUGGAAUCAGGAAGUAGGUCUCUUUCUCUCCCCCCAAGAAGUAUAUGAAAAGGGACAUUGGGAAAAUCUAGGAUACACGUUGAAUAAUGUUAUUGGCCUGUGUAAACUGGUAUCAUCCAUUAUACACCAGCUAGAAGCUGAGCGUGCUACAGCUGCUGCUGUGAAAGCAGAAAAUGCUGUACCAUCUGCGUUCCCUGUAGAUGCUAAAAGGUUCUUUAGAGGUGGUGACUUUAUAGUGCCAUCGGCUCCACCUCUAGAAGAAAAUACUAAGAGACUCUUUGGAGGGGAUAAUGUCAUAGUACCCUCGGCUCCACCUCUAGAAGAGGAGAGCAUGGAUGUGAGCCCACCCCCCCCCCAGAACUCCCUAGAGUACCUUUCCAGGAGCCAAAUGCACGCAUUGUUUCUCCUCCCCUCCCACCUACCCUUCACCAUCCUGCCCCAUCCCAUCCUGCUGCCAUGCCUGAAGGAGUACCUGGCAGAGAAGGAAAGGUACGCUUUGCCCGUGACACUACGGAUCUACCAUUGCCCCUGAGCUCAUCAACCGCUGAGUGUAUUCCUCUUCCAUCAUCACCUCCAACAUCUAGUGAAGGGGAAGAUCAACAAAGACAAUUGUUAAAGGAAGAAUUAAUAAGACAUGGAGAAGAUAUGAAACAGAGUUUGGCCCACUUGGAGGAACUGAUUGAAAAGCCAAAAGCAACAGCUAAUCAACUGUUGAAAUGGAUUGAUGAAUUAACUAGACCAGGGAUUAAAGUUUCACCCCCACAGGUGCUCAGAGACCCCCAGCCAGAUGACUAUGAUCUGGCUAAGAAAUGGAGAGGCCUCAUACGUGAUGCAGUAAUUGAAGAAUUUAUUCCACAAGCCUUUCCAGUAAUAACAGCACAUAAAAAACAACAAUGAGCACCUUUGGAUUGGACGUUGGUAAGGGAAGGCCAGAAAGCAGUAAUGCAAUAUGGCUUGUCCAACCCAUACAUUCAAACAUUAUUGGAUCAUAUUUUCGCCAGCGGAUUAAUGACUCCAUUUGACUGCUGGAAGCUAGCAGAAACCUUCCUGAAGCCCACUCAGGUAUUACUAUGGGAAUCUGAAUGGGGAAAAAAGAGUCGACAUGGCAGUAGUAGAAAAUAUGGACUUAAAACAGGGAGAUCUGUGGCGAGUUGUCACAGCAGACAUGAUGCUGGGUAAAGGACCGUUUGCUGACCCUCAGGUACAAGCCCGACUGCAUGAAGCUAUUUUGCAGCAAACACAGACACUGGCUCAUCAAUUGUUUAAGAUUGUCUCUGACAUGGACGUGCCAGUUCCCUCAUACACAACCAUUAUAUAGAAACCCAAUGAGCCUUUUAUGACCUUUUUAGACUGUCUAAGAGCAGCUCUGGAUCAUAUACCAAACAUGUCAGCUGAAGUAAAAGCGGAAAUAGGGUUACACGUAGCAGUUGCUAACACUAACCAUGACUGCAAAAAGAUCCUGCAGGCUCUCCCACGGACAGCAACUUUGGUUGACAUGAUAGAAACCUGCUCUCAGGUAGGAUCAUCAGCACAUUUAGCUGAAGCCAUGGCAACAGCAUUGAAACCUUUAGUUCAACAACACAAAGGAAAUUGGAGGCCAAAAUGCUUUAACUGUGGAAAAAUAGGACAGGUGAAAAAUCAAUGUCCAUCCAGACGAUUGGUAUGGACAAACAGCUCCAUCAGACCAUCAGGGUCCAAUGGCAGAUUUAAUGGCAAUUGUUGCAAAUGUGGCAAGUUUGGACAUAGAGCCACUGAGUGCCGCUCUCGAGUGGCCAGACACGCAACACCUAAGGGAAACGGGUUAAUGAGUGCAAAAAGGGUGAGCGCGAUGACACAAAAACGCCCUUCAACACCAAGAGCUGCCUGGAUGGCCUCAGAUCAGCCACUGCAGGAAGCGCAGGAGUGGAUGCGGAAACAGCAGUAAAAUAGCUCAAUUAUUUCCUUUCAGAGCUAAAGUUCCUUUCGCAGGAAGUCGUAAGCGUCGAGACGGUGGUUUUGGAUCCACUGGAGUACCUGAGGAAAAGACCUGGACCAGCAUCAGAUUCUACAAGAAGUGAACCGACAGUUGAGCAUCUCUGGGUUGGUGAUGGUGCCAGAGAAGGUACAAAUGCACGCCUCUUGGAAAUAUUUAGGUAAUAUUAUCACCAGUGCGCACAUUUAUCCUCAGAAGGUGGCAAUUAAAACAGAAAUUGCUAAUUUAACAGAUGUUGAAAAGCUAAUAGGUGAUAAUCCAAUGGGUAUGAACCAUAUGUGGUAUCACGAAUGAGGAUCUUGUACCACUAAUGCCUUUGUUAAAAGGCAUUUGCAAAAAGCAAUCACCACAAGACUAGAAGCAAUUGUGAAAAUAAUAGUUAAGGCCAGGAAACAUCUGCUGGAAAUAGCAGGGAUUGAGGCAGAUGUCGUUUCCGUUCCUCUCACAGAUGAGUUCUUGAACUGGGCGCUGCAACAAUCUGAUGAAUUACAGUGGGCCUUAUUGUCAUAUCCAGGGACUAUAAAUAAUCAUUAUCCGGCCCAUAAAUUGUUUUCUGUUAAAUUUCAAAUGGAAGACCGGCCGUUGAGAUCAGCAGUACCCGUUAAAGGCCUGACUGCUUUUACCGACGCCAGUAAGAUCCAAGCCAAAGCAGGAGUGGUUUGGUGGGAGAAUGGAAAGUGGCAAAACCUAACUGUUCACUCCCCAGGCAGUUCAGUUCAACUGCUGGAACUGAUGGCUGUAGUUAAAACUUUUGAGAAAUGGCCAGACUUCCCAUUAAACAUCAUCUCUGAUUCCCUCUGUGUGGUUGAUGCUGUCACUCGAUUAGAGAGCGUUGUUGAAAGAAAUCUCUAAUCAGAAUCUGAAUAACUUAUUUCUGCAGCUCUGGCAUCAGAUAAAUGAACGGCAAACUGCUUAUUAUAUUGGACAUAUUUGAAGCCAUUUGGGCUUAAAAGAUGGCCUAUCAGUUGGCAAUGAAAUUGUUGACAAGAUAGUAGCAGCUCUGUUAUUGAUACCUCUGGGGCCAAUAAUUGACACAUUUUCUCAAGCCUCAAGGUCGCAUGAUUUUUUUCACCAAAGUGCGAAAAUGCUGGCGAAGCAGUUUGACCUGACCAUAUUGGACGCUCAGGGUAUUGUUUCCACGUGCCCUGCAUGCCAGAAUCAGAUCGGCCUAGGAGUAGGAGUCAAUCCCAGGGGUCUGGCACCAUUAGGUAUAUGGCAAUCAGAUAUCACUGUCUAUGCUCCCUUUGGACGAUUUAACGAAUACAUGUCACCAUUGAUACUUAUUUGGCCAUGGCUUGGGCCACAGCCUUAACGAGCGACAGCGCUCGAGACGUCAUAAGACAUUGGAGGAGUUGCUUUGCAAUCCUUGGUGUUCCAAGAGAGAUAAAAACUGAUAAAGGCUCAGGAUAUAUACCCAGUAGAACAAGUAAGUUUCUGAACUUAUGGGGUGUUAAACAUACUACUGGAAUCCCAGGAAAUUCCACCGGUCAAGCCAUUAUUGAACGUACUCAUCAAACCUUAAAAGGACUGCUAGAAAAACAAAAAACGGGGGAAGAGGGGGUGAGCCCUCAAGAUAGACUAAUGAAAGCCCUUUAUACAAUGAAUCAUCUCAGAAUUGUGGCAAAGCGGAAUGAACCACCGGCAUUAACACACUUUGCCCAAAUGAGUCGGGAUUUGGAUUUUACUGACAAACCUAAAGUUUGGUAUAAGAAUCCCACUACUGGAGAGUGGCAAGGACCUGCAGAUCUGUUAACGUGGGGAAGAGGCUACGCUUGUGUCAUUACAGAUCAAGGUCCCCGAUGGAUUCCGGCAAAAUGGAUCAAGCCACACCAACCGAAAGGACUGAAUCACUAUAAGAGCAAUGGAAAAAACAAUCUUGAGGAAAGAACCAAGUGAUCCACCCUCAAUCCAUCACUCUGUUAAAAUGUAAACUCUCUCAACUGUGGCACCACGUAUGCUGCUGUAAAUUCCUCCAGCUAUCUGUAUCACAUUAAGAGAAUUGAAGAACUUAACAAGAUGACCAAUGGGAACUUGAAAGCAAAAAUGGUGUGUUUUCUACGGAUGAAGAGAUACUUCCAUCUUAUAAUGCUCACAGAUCAGCAUGCUAAAGAAGUUGAAGAAAAGUCCAAAACUACAUUCAGGAAACAGAAAUAUUAGUGGAGUUACCAAGAACUCAUCCCUUUCUGCCAGUGUGCGUCCCUCCUAGCAACAUAUAUCAAAUUUAUGUUUAUUUUGAGUUUAUGGAUGUUUGUAUUAUAUUGUUCAGCAAUGUAGCUGUUAUUGAUCUUUUGUUGUAAACUCAUGGCCAUGGGUAAAAAUAUUUAUGUUUUCUUCAUGUACCUUUAAUUUUGAAAUGUGUUGCUAAAGCCUGGAUGGUCCAAAAAAGAAAAAGGGGGGAAUUGUAGGCACAAAUGUGGCUUGGACCAGCCAGCUUGAAUAAAGAUGGUAGGGACAAGUUAAUGCAGCUGGCAAGCUACUUCCAAUUAUCAGAAACAGGUGCUGUGAGUUAAUCAGUUGGGCCCUGGAUGAUCACAUGGGCAGAAGCAGCAUAUAAGGAGGUAGCUAGCAAAGGAAGGGUGGCUUCGACUCAACUCGGUUGUACUAUGUUGCUUGUGUAUGUCUCUGCACGUGCAUUACCUAGAUUCUCUAUGUCUUUGAAUGAAUAUUGCUUGCACCACUAAAACAGGAUGGGAAUGUAAUAACUUUUCUUCAUUGUUUACAUAGGAUAUUUUUCUAAUACAGCCUCAGCAAAAAUGAAACAUAUAGCAUUUGUGGGCUUCUGUUAGUGAACCAGCUGAGAUCUGAUAUAAUAAAAAUAACCUAGCUACCUGAUGAGAAAGUUACAUAUCUAAGACAUUACAAUUGGGAUUGCUUAAUGUACACAUAUGCACAGAAAAAGAGGAAGAAAAUGUUUUAUUUUUCUACCAGCAUUAUAAAGACUAUCUGAAACACAGGGAGAAAAACUAUUUUCUGGAAACUUCAGGACAGCUGUAUGAAUUUCUAAUGGUUGAAAGGAUUUGUAAUCAAUUCUGAUAUUGAUACCAAGUAUGUUCAUGUUAAUGACAAGGAAGGAAAAGACUAAGAUAAUUCUUUAUGAAUUAUCAUGGUAGCCUACGAUAUGCAGAAAUUAUAUCCACUUCAUUUAAGUUUGAGCUGCCAUGUGGAACAGAAGUAUUCUGCAUUCUGUCCGUUAAGGCCCUAGAAAGCAAAGAGCCUUUUCAAGACAGUAUUUCCUACUCAAGAUCAGGUAUAUUAUUAAGAAUUCACCACAACUUCCUUGUUUUUACAGUGAGAGUACACAUUCCCUUAGGAAACAAUUUUUUUUAAUAUAUCCAACUAACUGUAAUGAAUUUGACAGUAACAUAAAAGGAGUCUAUUCGAGCUUAGAAAAACAGCAAUACAGAGAGAACUCUGCUUAACAUUGAGGUUAACUACUUACUAUCAUGUUCUUACUGUUGACUAUCUAGAGUGUGGUGGCUUACAUACAGAUGGAAGAAAAAAAUUAGCAAUGAAUUCUAGCAUAGAGAGAAGACCCAGGUUAAAGGUAUUUGGGCUUGGAAUGUCACUGUUUUCAGAUGCAAAGUUUCAGUAAAUGAUGUAGGUUCUUCUUGUGCAUUCCUACUGACAACUUAAAUAUUAGCACUUUUAAAGUCUUUUCAUAAACUGAUAAAAAUACACGGAGUUUCCACAGCUAAUUAAACCUUAAGCAUGCCCAUGCAUGGAAAAAAAUCAAACUUGUCAAGUUUAAUCAAAACAUGAUGUCUGUAACUGUGGACCAUGUAAAAUGAUUAUAUUGCUUGAAACUUUUGCUACGUUUCCUCUAUUUAUGCCUUUUAGCAGCAGCAUAAGCAAAAGGAGCCAAACGUGUCCUGGGAACUUUGUUUUAAUAUGUAAGGCAUGACAGCUAAUUAGUUCAGUGACACAACCAUAGAUGUCCUUCUUUUAAUUGAAGGAAAAUGGUAUGCAAAAGAUAAUGUUAGAAGCCAUUGGGCCUCCAUAUCUACUGUGCCACCUAUUGUACUGCAUACACACAUUUUCUGUUUUAGGUGGAGAGGGUGGUGCCCUGCUCUGAUUUGAUUGAGAGGUUUUGUGGCAUUCAGUCAAAACCCAUAGGUCAUCACGCUUGUCCACCCAGUUGAACAGUCACACUAGAGUGGUGCUAGGAAAAGAGUGAAGAAUAAGGGAUACUGAACACUAUCUACAGGGAGAAGUAGAACAAUCUUGGUCAUGCAAUGAGAGUAAAAUUGUAAUUUAAUCUUGUGAGAAGAGAGGGGAACUAAGGAAUGGUGGAACAUUAUUUAAAAUCUGAGCAUUCAUUUAUAUACUGUUUUGGAUUAAUCUUCUACUUGGUUUAUUGCUUGCAUAUGUGAAUUCAAAGGUUUUAAGUAUUAAAAUUUAAGUAUAAAAAUGUUACUAAAAUAUUACUACAACUUGCUUUGAACUAUGUUUGUCACUGGGGGGAAGGGAAUAUAUUCCAAAGUAUUUGUUGACCAGCAUCAUUCUUCACUGCAUUUAGAGAAGAUUUUUCAUUAUUCUGGGUGUUUUUUGUGGUUUGGUGGUAAUGUGUUUGUGGGGUUUUUAUUUGAUUUCUGAAGAAUGAGGCUGUGCUGAUACUGUCAUGAUGCUAAAGGAGAAAAUGGAAGAACCUGGCUACUUUAGUAUCUUCUUAUUUAAAAAGUAGUGCUGCUCCAGGAAGUGUCUUGAAUAACCAGUUCAGAUACUUGAUUAAUAAAAAUUGUAUCAUGUGGUUAUGUGACUAUUAGAGAUGUUUGGAGAUACAACUAUGCUUUAUUUAAUUAUUUACUUGUAAGCGUAGGAAUAA